GUUGUGAUGGGUUUUGGAUUUUUAUUAAUUAUUUUCAGACCCCUUUGUUCUCGUUCUUCAUGGUUAUUUGGUGAUAUUUUAAUCUUUUAAGCUGGGAUUCGUUGCUAAUAUGGUUGAGGCAAAAUGAGGCGGUCCCUGAGAGUAAUCUCAGAGCAGCACAGAAGUGUAAAGAAGCAUCCAAGGGUGGAGUAAAACAAUAAUUCAAUACGGUAACUCGACUCCAUCACUGGCUCUGCGUUAUUUAAGGCUCCAACCAUAUCAGAUUUUCUCUUUCUUCCUCAUGGCAAAAGAUUACACUCAAAAUAAGAGGAUGUGUAGAGCAUCUGUAUCUGUAACUGCAGAAAAGAUGGCACUGACUGAGUUGUCAAUGUGUGCUAAGGCUGAAAGUGCACCAUCAAAAGCUCACCAGGAAUACAUCAGUCCCACACUGACAUGCAAAACCAUCAGCCGACAUCUUAUAAGCAUUCAGAUGGUUAUGUUUAUAGUGAAGCAUCCAGCAAAAGUAUUGUAAGACUUCAUACACGCUCACCGAAUUUAAACUACAACAGUGCAUAAAAGCUUAAUCUAUUUGUUUUAACUGGACUUUUUGACUGACCUGCUCUCUGAGAUUUAUUUUCACCAUUUAGCUGCAUCAGUUUUUUUUAUUCCCCCUCUCUCAUUUCCACUUUUCAUUUGACCGUCCAUUACGCUGGAAGUCGUCUAAUGUGCUGUGCAGAGAAGCACUUACCUACUGCAGCCGUGCCGGGUGAAAAACAGAGAGGGGUGGGCUGGGCGAGGGCACACAGUGUAAGGUGAAUCUGAUGAGAUCCUUCUCGUUCCUGACUUUGUCUAUUUUGUCCCAGUUCUUCUGAACUAAACUCAAAAUAGUGCAGAAGAGUGCUUCAAUUGAUUGUGUUCUUUCCAAAGGAACUCGUUAAGACCUUCGGGCUGUGUUUUGGUUUUAUGUUGUUUCUCCCAGUUCCUAUGUCCCUGAGAGGACUCUCUUCAUACUGUCAUGGUCCUUGGCUUUGUGCUGUUUUGGGGUUUUGAAUUCUUAAUUAAGAUAUUUGGAUUUCUGUUUUGGGUUUUAUAGACUGGACUUUAGAUUUCUGUGUUUGUUGUUUAUUAUCUUUAUUCAGUCUUUGGUUCCAGUGUUAUACUUUAUGGUUUUCCUGGUAAUGACUUUCUGUUUUGUGUGUUUUGGCUCCUCUUUAACUUUCAUGUUCUUACAGUGACUUUGGGUAUUUCUGGUUUCUUUGGUUUCUGUUAUUAGUUUCUUCUUAGUCUUCUUGUUUCCACCCUCUUCUCUUUAGUCCAGCUUUCUUUAUCAUUGUCCUUCUUUUCCCCCCCGAAUUAGCCCAUUCAUGUUUAGUCUUUCUUUGUUUCAGAAAUGGUUGGUUGUUCAUUUCCUGUUUUAUUUUGAUAGUUGUCUGUUGGUCUGAUUGUCCUCACCUGUGUCUGAUCCUAAUCAGCACUCUGUGUAUAUGCAGUCUUAUCUUCCCUCUAUUAAGACAUCUUUUGAUGUGCCUGCCCUAUGUUGACCUCUUUGUUUUUUGUGGAUUUUGUUCUCAUUUGGACUUCAUUUCAUUGGCCAUCAAAGCCUGCUAUUUGUUGGGGCUUUCUGACUUCUGCCUCCUACAUACAAAGGUCAUAACAAGAAGAACAGAUUGUAAUGGAUCUUGUUUCCUUGAACCGAUGAAGCCAAGGGGUGUACUACGAAGUGAGACUGGUGGGUUAGUGAGCAACGUUGAGUUUAAGGCUUCUUUUAAAACAUCCCCACUGCUUUCUCCUCUACAGCUUGAGGGACUCACCCGCUCCAGCUGGAUGUAGAACGUCUGGUCCCAGCUCAGUCUGCUGAUGGCUGCCCAGCACGUCUGGCCGACCACUCUGCCGUCCAGCCUGAGCACGCCACUGAUCUCUGCGCUGUGAAGCACAAAAUCACCCCGAGUGAGACCCGAUCUGAAUGCUCGCCGCAUACAGAGCAACUCCAGGAUUUGUCUCCUCGUUACAUCAUCAUCAUGAGGCUUUUUUUUUUUUUGCCAUCUUUUUUUUUUUUUUGCCUUUUUAGCCUCCAGCAGGGAGAGAUGGGCUUACAAGUGAACUGUCCAAAACCAGCAGAUUACAUGUCUGAUUAUCCACUGCCAGAGGUCAGCGUAUGGUUAGCCAUGUUCCAACACUGGGCAGGCAUGGUGCCGCUAGAAAGAGCUAUGUGUUAGAGAGAAAAAAACAUAAAGCUUUCUUUGAGAUGUAGGUGUUUGAGCAAAUUAAUGUUAGGAGAGAUUUUUAAAGAUCAGUAAUAAUUUCACACAGAUUUCCUGGGAAUAACUACUUAAAAAUAGUGUUAAUUAGUACACUUGCAAUUAGUUAAAUCCAGUUAUUUUCCGGUCUUCUGAAUGUACUAACACAUGAAAUGUGUCUAUAAUUAAACAUAUGAUUCUGUAAUAAGUGAA